ACUCGAAAUAAUUGAAAUUCUGGGCACAGGCUCAUUGACAGCCUGACAAAUGAACAAUAACAUCGACUGCACUCGUUCAUACGAGUCCGUUCAUAUAUAGAUUUAUAUAUCGUUUGAGAAUUAUUUGGAAACUUCUCACUCACUCUGAGUCGGACACACACAAUCAAACCCAAUGCACCUCUCACCAGAAAUCCGAGAACAAUAAAAAUUAAAAAUAUUAAUUCCAACAUUGGACGAACUGGUCAUACCCGAACAUCAAGUUGGAUUUAGAAGAGGCCACGGAACCCCGGAGCAAUGUCAAUGGUUAUUCGAUCGAAGCUGGAAUAAAACAUACUAUUCAAGAUAAAUAAAAUGGCUGCCUGCGCGCUACUAUCUGCUGCUCUGGCUUUAUAUAGUAUAUGUAUGUAUUUUAGAAAAGCUUUAAUUUGUAACAGAGAAAUUACUCUUCAACAAUGUUCCCUAUAAACGCGCGAGUUCUAUAAGGAAACAUCUUGGGACCUGUUUUAUACACAAUACUGGUUUAUACGGCAAACAUGCCAUAGAUGAUCCAGCCAUUUUAGGAACCAAUUCAUCCAAACAAGAGCUUCACGGCUUCAGAAAUCAGCGUUAUUAAAGACUGGUUAUUUCGCUGGAAAAAUAAAAUAACGAAUUUACUCAAAUAUCAUUCGCAAUCGAGAAUGCGUGAAUGGGUGCUAAGUAUCUUGAGUUGUUGUUGCAUGGCAGACUAACAUGGAAAACCCAUAUAAGGCGAGAAGCCUUAGGAAUCAAAGUUCGUCUUUAUAAAGCCUUGCUUAAGCCAGUGUAGACCAAAGCUAUUCCGCUUUGGAAAACAACUAGCGAUUUAAAUUUUAAAAUACUUCAGAGGUACCAAUCCAAAACGCUAACGCAAAUAUACCCUGUGAGGCAAAAGUUAGGUGAAUUUUGAAUUUGAGCU